rnacentral:rRNA from 1 species
AGGACGAACGCUGGCGGCGUGCUUAACACAUGCAAGUCGAGCGGAAAGGCCCUUCGGGGUACUCGAGCGGCGAACGGGUGAGUAACACGUGAGUAAUCUGCCUUUAGCUCUGGGAUAGCUCCGGGAAAACCGGGAUUAAUACCGGAUAUGACCACUUUAGACAUCUGUUGUGGUGGAAAGUUUUUCGGCUAGAGAUGAGCUCGCGGCCUAUCAGCUUGUUGGUGGGGUAACGCCUACCAAGGCGACGACGGGUA